GUUGUUUUCCUUAAAUAUGCUUAU
rnacentral:piRNA from 1 species